rnacentral:rRNA from 1 species
UAGGGAAUCUUCGGCAAUGGGGGGAACCCUGACCGAGCAACGCCGCGUGAGUGAAGAAGGUUUUCGGAUCGUAAAGCUCUGUUGUUAAGGAAGAACGAGUGUGAGAAUGGAAAGUUCAUGCUGUGACGGUACUUAACCAGAAAGGGACGGCUAACUACGUGCCAGCAGCCGCGGUAAUACGUAGGUCCCGAGCGUUGUCCGGAUUGAUUGGGCGUAAAGCGAGCGCAGGCGGUUAGAAAAGUCUGAAGUGAAAGGCAGUGGCUCAACCAUUGUAGGUUUUUGGAACCGAUUAAGUUGGGGGCAGAAGGGGGGAGUGGAAUUCCAUGUGUAGCGGUGAAAUGGGUAGGUAUAUGGAGGAACAACGGUGGCGAAAGCGGCUCUGUGGUCUGGAACCGCCGCUGAGGCUCGGAAGCGUGGGGAGCGAACAGG